GCCAGGCAUGGUGGCGCAUGCCUGUAAUCCCAGCUACUCGGGAGGCUGAGACAGGAGAAUUGCUUGAACUCGGGAGGCAGAGGUUGCAGUGAGCUGAGAUCACACCAUUGCACUCCAGCCUGGGCAACAGAGCAAGACUCUGUCUCAA
rnacentral:SRP_RNA from 1 species